GAAAGACAGGGAGAGGGUGGGAGGGAGGGAGGCAGAGAAAUAGGGAGAUGCAAACAUUAGAAGUGGAGGAAGAAGAACAGACUGGAGAUAAAUUGGUCAGCCUCCCCCUACCUCUCCCUCUCCUUCCUUCUCCCUCCCUCCCUCUUUCUCU